CGUCGUCUUCCGGGUUUCUGUUCGCCGCUCGGGCUUCCUGGUGUUCCCCGGGCGCCUUCAGUCCUCCUGCCUUGCCCUUCAGCACCGUGAUCACGUGGAACGCUGGUGGGCCGACCCGAGCUUUGCCUGAUGAGUGCCAGAACUAACAGUUGGGACUCAUGCAAAACAAUAUUCCUGGCACUAUGUGAAUCAAGAUGAGAACAAUGCCAGAGGAAGACACAUCACCCUGCAGUGCAGCAACUAACUGGCCCCAGAAUCCUUCCUGUUCAACAGCUGAGCAAAGCCACCAGGGAGAAAUGGAGCACCUGAUGUGUUGUGUUUCGAUGUCUUGACAACCCCAGCUGCCGGGAGUGAGUCAGCCUCACCUGAGCCGCACAGGAAAAUGAUUUGACACCUCCAAUAGAAAAGAAAAAGAGGAGGAGCCAUCUCAAGGCAGGAGCAAGAUGGGUGUUACCUAGCAACAACAUUAGUCACUGGGAACUGGAAGAGGCAGGAGGCAUCUCACCUGGGUCCUCUGGAGGAAACAUGGCCUGGCAAACACUUUGAUUUCAAAUUUCAGCCUCCGGGAUCAUGAAAGAAUUCUAUUGCUUUAAGCGACCAAGGUUGUAGUCACUGGUUUUCUUGGCCCUUGAAAGAUUCCUCUCUUCUUUCUCUAUAUGAUACUUCUCCACUCCAACACUAUAAUAACAAGACUGAAAACAUUACAGCAGCUCAAAUGUGGAGGGAGGCGUGAGAAAAUCUGGGGAGCCUUCCACAGAAGCCUCUUCUGCUAAUGUCUGUCACAGCUUCUCAUUACCGGAGAACAGAAAUCACAGCGAAUGCUUCUGUCAUAACACAGGUGCAUUGGAGCCUCUUUCAAAAGCCCACUUGGUUCUUGAUCUCUCACAAGUUCUACACUGUGGAAGCAGCAUUCUCAGCCCAGCAAAUGUCAGCUGCGGUUCAGCCUGGUUGAGUUCAAAUGUUCAGUUUUGCAGGAAGGCAACACCAAGAUCACUGAAACUAAAACCGAAGAGGAAGCAUACCAAGUUAGGUUUCGUGACUUCCUCCCCAAAUACCAAAGAAAAGAGAUCUGGACAAGAUCACCAGAAUAGC
rnacentral:lncRNA from 1 species